GCAGGUGCCCACAACCAUCUUGCCAUUUUUACUCAGGUCGUCAUACAGGCUAUGUAUGUAUCUUCUCUGGAGAAUGGAACUCAACUUUGAAGAUGCAUGAAACGGAAAACAAAAGACAACUCAAGUAACUAAGGAGGAAAAAGAAAGUGACUUCUCCCCCUAAAAAUGAGUUUAAGAAGAAGGAAAGUCUUUUUUCACAAAGAAGUUGUGAGACCGCAUGCCCCAUUCAUACUGAGUGCAAAUGAAUGAAGAAUGAUCUCCCACUCAUACAUACUGGGUGCAAAUGAAUGAAUAUUACUGAUGCUCUCCCAGUCAACUAAACUCCAUCCAGACACAUCCACCAAUAUAAAUUCAAACAAGUUGCCAAAUAAGAUGCAUAUAGCGCUCAAUGCCUAUUGAAUGGAUGCAUAAAACCCUAUGAGAAUAAAAUUUCCCUUAUCCUUCAA